rnacentral:misc_RNA from 1 species
AAGGAUCAUUAACGAGUGUGACUGGAAACAGUUGAACUCCCACCCAUUGUAUUGUAUGACCAGUUGCUUCGGCGAGCCGUUUUCGGACCGUUGGCUUAUGCGAGCGAGUGCUUGCCGAAGAGUAUAAACACUUUUAAAUUAUGAUGUCUGAGUUUUGAUAUAAAAAAACAAAAACUUUCAACAACGGAUCUCUUGGUUCUG